CUUCCAGUAGCACCUUAGAGACCAACUAAGUUAAUUAUUGGUACGAGCUUUUGUGUGCGUGCACACGAAAGCUCAUACCAAUAACUAACUUAGUUGGUCUCUAAGGUGCUACUGGAAG